rnacentral:rRNA from 1 species
GACGAACGCUGGCGGCGUGCCUAAUACAUGCAAGUCGAGCGAAGCGGCGGAUGGGUGAGUAACGCGUGGGUAACCUGCCCUUAAGUCGGGGAUACCAUUUGCAAACAGAUGCUAAUACCGGAUACUUAAGGAUGGACUUGCGGUGCAUUGGCUAGUUGGUAAGGUAACGGCUUACUACGGGGAUGAUGCGUAGACGAGUUGAGAGACGGAUCGGCCACAUUGGGACUGAGACACGGCCCAAACUCCUACGGGAGGCAGCAGUAGGGAAUCUUCCACAAUGGACGAAAGUCUGAUGGAGCAACGCCGCGUGAGUGAAGAAGGUUUUCGGAUCGUAAAGCUCUGUUGUUGGUGAAGCGGUAAUCAACCAGAAAGUCACGGCUAACUACGUGCCAGCAGCCGCGGUAAUAC